UACGGAGGGUGCGAGCGUUGUCCGGAAUCACUGGGCGUAAAGGGCGCGUAGGCGGCGCGGAUAGUCGGCGGUGAAAGCCCGGAGCUCAACUCCGGGUCGGCCGUCGAUACUUCCGGGCUUGAGCACUGUAGAGGCAGAUGGAAUUCCGGGUGUAGCGGUGGAAUGCGUAGAGAUCCGGAAGAACACCGGUGGCGAAGGCGGUCUGCUGGGCAGUUGCUGACGCUGAUGCGCGACAGCGUGGGAGCAAACGAGGAUUAGAAACCCG
rnacentral:rRNA from 1 species